CCCGCGGUCAGACGGAAAGACCCCGUGCACCUUUACUAUAGCUUCGCAGUGGUAUUAGGACGUGGAUGUGUAGGAUAGGUGGGAGGCUUUGAAACCAGACUUUCGGGUUUGGUGGAGCCGUCCUUGAAAUACCACCCUGUUUGUCGUGUUGACCUAACUUCGACCCAUGAAUCUGGGCGAAGGACCAUGUUAGCUGGGCAGUUUGACUGGGGCGGUCUCCUCCUAAAGAGUAACG
rnacentral:rRNA from 1 species